CUCUUAGUAUUGAAAUAGCCAACCACUUUGUUCUACCCAUUCCAUCCCUCUCACCAAGUAAGAUGUAAGUAUAAUUCUUAAGAGAAAAAUAUUAAUGGCACAACACAAUAAUUGCCAUACAAUUUAUCAGAGAACUGAUGAACAAAUGGUUGUGAGGCAAAAUAUUUGUUUGGUAUGUGCACAAACAUUUAGAGUAGAAUCAGCUUUUCAAGAAAACAUAUGAAUUGAGAAAAAUGAAAAAGUGACAGACUAUUGCUUUUUCCAAAUUUCAAAAGUAAAUUGGAAAACAUAUUGGAAGAAAAUGUUCCAUCCCACCAGGGGAAUAAAUGAAAUGAUCUUUUCAUCUUCUUUUUCUAGAAGUUGGCCUGCAAAUCAGAUGUUUAAAAUUUACCUACCCAAACUAUGAGCAGCAUAAGUCCAAUAUUAAGCUUAGUCUGAGUUUCAUUGGGAAAAGUUCCAUUUCCCGAUCCUGGGCCAAAAGCUGAAUAAUACCAAUAUGGAAAUUUGGAGCAAAAUCAAUUGUUAAAGUCAGAUUAUGAGAUUUUAACUGCCAUUCCAGAACUACUUAUACAGCCCUUCUAUGUUAUUUCCACUUGCCAGAUCAACACCCAAGGGUCAUUUUGACAUUAAAAAAAAAAAAAAAAAAAGUCCCAGUUACACAUCCAACUGCUGAUUUACAAAGCAAAAGCAAAAGGCAACCUGCGAGUUUGGCUUUAAAAUCCCGUUUGCCUGAGGGAUCUAUGGAUGAAAGAAAUUUUAGCCUACUGUUUAAGGGCUAAUAUUCCCACAUUUCCAUAUCCCAUUUAGGGUGGGUAGACUUUAGCACUUCAGCUUAAGCAGUAUCACUUUAUAUAAGGUGCUUGAGUGGAGUAGGCAGCAAGCUGGAAUGGGAUAAUAAAUGGCAGAGAGGCAAAGAGGCUGCUGCUACAGGUAGCCACCUAUGCCAGUUGCCAAAGGAAAAUGGCUGUGAAAAGCGAGCACAUUUAUUUCCAUGAGCAAAAGAUGAGAAUUUAAUAGUAAAACAGUAAAUUGAGUGUCUGUCCUUUUACCUCUUACUAGAAUUUCUUUGUUGUCCUUUGCAUGGGGAAGGUUAACAACUCAACUUAAUUCUUCGCGCCAAGGAACUUUACAGGCUGUCAUUUGGUUAAGGUCUAAUGGGCCUUCAGGGAUUUGAUAACUGAAUGCUGCGCUCACUGGAGCAGACUGCUCCACAGAGGGCCUGGAAAAGAAUGUUUGAGUUGGAGAAAAGGUGCCGCUGCUCCGACUGCUUUUCCACCUGCAAAAACAGAACCUUUGGGGACAGUAGCACUGUAGUUAACGGGAGGCCAGAUUCAAUCACCCGGGAUCCUAGGAAUGAGAAAGGUGUUAAAGUAGCCAGCUCUUCUGUUUUGCCAAGGAUUUUCCGGCCUUGCUGUUUUUGGCAAAAUUUUGAAAUAUCCCACUUCUCUCACUCUGAGCUUUUCCCUUUCCAUUUCUCAGAGAUGGUUUUGUAUAUUGGGAUGACUAGUCCAAACAGAAAGACAGAAUUUUAAGAGGAUGUGAGAUUCACACUUUUUGGUUCCCCACAUGCCUCUGAACAGCAUUUGGCUGCUGUAGAGAGUUGAGGGAGGGACCCAGAAGCAAUAAAAGGAUCAAGUUGCCAACCACCUCAACCUCAAUAUUGGAAAGGGAACUCCUAAAACCCCUAGCUGACUAAAUCAGAUGGAAAAUUUCAAGACAUUACCAACUGAAAAUGCUGCAGCUUUCACUCAGUAGACUUUGAAAGUCCGGUUCAUA
rnacentral:lncRNA from 1 species